rnacentral:lncRNA from 1 species
AUAGAGAUCCAUACACUUAAACACAAGUUAUUGUCUGUAAAGUAGAACCAGAUGCUCCGCAGGGCGCAGCUUUAUACGACCGCAGAGGUUGAACCCUGAACGGUUGGGGCAAGUUUGUGGUCAUAAACCUUGUGUUAAAAUUUCAUAGAUUUCUAUUCACUUUUACUAAAGUUAGAGUGCGAAAACUAAAAGUAUUCAGACAACGACGACGACGACGUGAUACCAAUAUACGACCAAAAAAUUUUCAAUUUUUGCGGGUCGUAUAAAAAUGCUUCUUAUUGGCUCUUUUUUGGCCCCUUUAUCCUACAUAUUCGAGAAAAUUAACCCCAAACUGAAUCCUUCCCUGUGUUAUAUGGAAACUUGUGGUACAAUGUCAGAGAGAUCCAUACAGUUACACACAAGUUAUUGUCUUAAAACUAGAAAAAUGCUUGUUUUGGCCCCUUUUUGGCCCUUAAUUCCUAGACUGUUUUCCCAAUAACCCCUUAAAAUAAAUCCCAACCUUCUACUUAUGGUAUAAAACAUUUUGUUACAAUUUCAGAACAAUUGAAAUACUAAUACACAACUUUUUGUCCUGAA